ACCGGGGCCGGCGGGCACUGGGGGCGCGCCCCGGCAUGGCCUCCGUCCUGCCCGCCCCACAGGGGGGGUCGGCUCGUUCGCUCGUGUGGUCCCGGAGGGCACCGCGGAUUGGGGGCGCCUGGCCCGUCCCCUGCCGCAUUCCGUGGGGGCGGGACCGCGGGGCCUGGGGGCCACACGGGCGGCCCGCAGCUGGGCCCUGGAGUGCGGCCCCAGCGUCUCUUCCUCAGGCUCGGGCAUGAUCCGCGGCGGGAAAGCAGCGCGUCCAGCCGAAGCCUGGGGGUCGGAGAGCUUGUGUGACUGAGAACGUUUCGGAAGGCGUUUCUGACCUUUGCACCUGCCCUCCCAGCUCGUUGGCUUGCUUGUGUUUGUUGCUGGAUAAAUGUGAGCUUGUUGUGAAAAUUGUCUUGAAAUUAUAAUUUCUUGUUUCUUGCCUUUUUUUUAAGGCUGAACUCCGAGCAGCUGUGUUUUUAGCACUAGAGGAGCAAGAAAAAGUAGAGAACAAAACUCCUUUAGUUAAUGAGAGCCUGAAAAAGUUUUUAAAUACCAAAGACGGUCGUUUAGUGGCUAGUCUUGUUGCAGAAUUUCUUCAGUUUUUUAACCUUGACUUUACUUUGGCUGUUUUUCAACCUGAAACUAGCACACUGCAAGGUCUCGAAGGUCGAGAGAAUUUAGCCCGAGAUUU
rnacentral:sRNA from 1 species